rnacentral:rRNA from 1 species
CAGGCCUAACACAUGCAAGUCGAACGGUAACAGGUUAAGCUGACGAGUGGCGAACGGGUGAGUAAUGUAUCGGAACGUGCCCAGUCGUGGGGGAUAACUGCUCGAAAGAGUAGCUAAUACCGCAUACGACCUGAGGGUGAAAGCGGGGGAUCGCAAGACCUCGCGCGAUUGGAGCGGCCGAUAUCAGAUUAGGUAGUUGGUGAGGUAAAGGCUCACCAAGCCGACGAUCUGUAGCUGGUCUGAGAGGACGACCAGCCACACUGGGACUGAGACACGGCCCAGACUCCUACGGGAGGCAGCAGUGGGGAAUUUUGGACAAUGGGCGCAAGCCUGAUCCAGCCAUGCCGCGUGCGGGAAGAAGGCCUUCGGGUUGUAAACCGCUUUUGUCAGGGAAGAAAAGGUUCUGGCUAUACCUGGGACUCAUGACGGUACCUGAAGAAUAAGCACCGGCUAACUACGUGCCAGCAGCCGCGGUAAUACGUAGGGUGCAAGCGUUAAUCGGAAUUACUGGGCGUAAAGCGUGCGCAGGCGGUUAUGCAAGACAGAGGUGAAAUCCCCGGGCUCAACCUGGGAACUGCCUUUGUGACUGCAUGGCUAGAGUACGGUAGAGGGGGAUGGAAUUCCGCGUGUAGCAGUGAAAUGCGUAGAU